rnacentral:rRNA from 1 species
UACAGAGGGGGCAAGCGUUGUUCGGAAUUACUGGGCGUAAAGGGCGCGUAGGCGGCCUUCUAAGUCGAACGUGAAAUCCCCGGGCUCAACCCGGGAACUGCGUCCGAUACUGGAAGGCUUGAAUCCGGGAGAGGGAUGCGGAAUUCCAGGUGUAGCGGUGAAAUGCGUAGAGAUAUGGAGGAACACCAGUGGCGAAGGCGACUUUCUGGUCCGUAACUGACACUGAGGCACGAAAGCGUGGGGAGCAAACAGG